UACAGAGGUCUCAAGCGUUGUUCGGAUUCAUUGGGCGUAAAGGGUGCGUAGGUGGCGCGCUAAGUCAGGUGUGAAAUCUCGGGGCUUAACUCCGAAACUGCAUUUGAUACUGGCGUGCUUGAGGACUGGAGAGGAGACUGGAAUUCAUGGUGUAGCAGUGAAAUGCGUAGAGAUCAUGAGGAAGACCAGUGGCGAAGGCGGGUUACUGGGCUGAUACUGACGCUGAUGCGCGAAAGCCAGGGGAGCAAACGGG
rnacentral:rRNA from 1 species